CGGGUGUAGUUUAGUGGUAAAACUACAGCCUUCCAAGCUGUUGUCGCGAGUUCGAUUCUCGUCACACG
rnacentral:tRNA from 1 species